AUUCCAUGGUAAAGACAUUUCCGAAGAAGAUCCUUGAAUCUCACCCAUGCAUCUUAAACUCUUCAUCUUCUUCUUGAUAAAACAUUAAAAUCUCUUUUCUAAAUUU